GGUCGCAUAGCUCAGUUGGUUAGAGCAUCUGUCUUACAAACAGAAGGUCACAGGUUCGAGUCCUGUUGCGACCA
rnacentral:tRNA from 1 species